AUGACACAGAGCACUGUGAUUGGAUGGCUUGAAAUCCACAUUUUACUAGUGAUAACCUCGUGCUGAUUGCAUGUCCCCGUGACGACGACAACGCAUUCGGAUGUCUGCCUAUCAACUUUCAAUGCAAUUUUCCACGCCUACCAUGGUGACCACGGGUAACGGGGAAUAAGGGUUUGAUUCCAGAGAGGGAGCUUGAGAAAUGGCUGCCACAUGCA